GACUUCUAGCAUGCCACCCUGAAUACACAGUCUUUUCAUUUUGGAAGCUAAGCAGGGUCAGCCCUGGUGAGCAGUUGGAUGGGAGGAAUAUCUAGGAUCUUGAAGGAG
rnacentral:rRNA from 1 species